CAAAGCGUUUUAUGUAUUGCAAUUUUCAAAAUGUGAUUAGUAAUAACAACGCAUCGUGACUUUUGUCAUCGUUUCGGAAUUGAUGCAAACUACUCAGUGCAUAUUACUUUGAUGGUAUCAGCAGCUAAAAGAUACGUGACGUUUGCAUCACAAUAGCGGCAGAGUCAAUAUCAAGAGAUGUAUUGCAACAAGUAUGGAAUG